GACGAACGCUGGCGGCGUGCUUAACACAUGCAAGUCGAACGGAAAGGCCCUGCUUUUGUGGGGUGCUCGAGUGGCGAACGGGUGAGUAACACGUGAGUAACCUGCCCUUGACUUUGGGAUAACUUCAGGAAACUGGGGCUAAUACCGGAUAGGAGCUCCCGCUGCAUGGUGGGGGUUGGAAAGUUUCGGCGGUUGGGGAUGGACUCGCGUCUUAUCAGCUUGUUGGUGGGGUAGUGGCUUACCAAGGCUUUGACGGGUAGCCGGCCUGAGAGGGUGACCGGCCACAUUGGGACUGAGAUACGGCCCAGACUCCUACGGGAGGCAGCAGUGGGGAAUAUUGCACAAUGGGCGGAAGCCUGAUGCAGCAACGCCGCGUGCGGGAUGACGGCCUUCGGGUUGUAAACCGCUUUCGCCUGUGACGAAGCGUGAGUGACGGUAAUGGGUAAAGAAGCACCGGCUAACUACGUG
rnacentral:rRNA from 1 species